ensembl:lncRNA LINC01748 long intergenic non-protein coding RNA 1748
UUCCCGGCUGCUUUGUUUACCCAAGCAAGCCUGGGCAAUGGCGGGCGCCCCUCCCCCAGCCUUGCUGCGGCCUUGCAGUUUGAUCUCAGACUGCUGUGCUAGCAAUCAGCGAGACUCCGUGGGCGUAGGACCCUCCUAGCCAGGUGCAAGAUAUAAUCUCGCGGUGCGCCGUUUUUUAAGCCGGUCCGAAAGCGCAAUAUUCGGGUGGGAGAGACCCGAUUUUCCAGUGAGAUGAACCCAGUACCUCAGAUGGAAAUGCAGAAAUCACCCGUCUUCUGCGUCGCUCACGCUGGGAGCUGUAGACCGGAGCUGUUGCUAUUCGGCCAUCUUGGCUCCUCUCCUGCACUGCAAGAAUGGACUAAUACGCUAUGUGAAGACAAAGGGGAUGUCUGCAAGCCAGGACGAGUGCGUCUACCAGAAACUGAGUUCUGCUGGACUUUGAUCUAGGACAUCCAGCCUCCAGAAUGGAAUGUGCCAUAUGUGGAGACCUGCAUGGAAAGGAACUGAGGAUGCUCUCUCACUAAAAGCUAGAAGGAACUGAGGCCCUCAGUCAACAGUCUACAAGACACUGAAUCUUGCCAGCAGCCAAGCAGUGAGCUUGAAAGCAGAUCUAUCAUCAGCUGAACCUUCAGAUGAGACCGCAGCCUAAGCAGAUACCUUGGUUGCAGCCAUAUGGAGAGAGGGGAACCCGAGUCAAGGAAUGCAAAUGGCCUCUGGAAGCUGGAAAAAGCAAGAAAUGGAUUCUCCUUUAGAGCCUGUGGAAUAAAAUGCAGUCAUGCUGACACCUUGAUUUUACCUCAGUGAGACCAAUACUGGAGUAUGACCUUCGGAGCUGAAUAAAAUUAUACGUACACAUCUUAAUUUCUUGGGAUUUGAUUACUUCUUCUGCUUUGAAAUUAGACCAAGUUUAGCCUGCCUUUGCUAUUUUGGCGUAUCUCCAAUUCUUCAUGAUUUUCUCAUUAGAUUCUUAGGGAUUCUGAAAAACACCUUACAGACCAUGUGAGAGGUAACGAGGAGGCUCUCCUGGACUGAACUGUGUCCCCUCCAAAUUCAUAUGUUGAGACCCAAACUUCCAAUGUGACUGUAUUUGGAGCUAGGGCCUUUAAGGAGUAAUUGACAUUAAAUGAGGUCACAGGGUUGGGACUCUAAUUUAAUAGGACUGGUGUCCUUAUGAGAAGAGAAAGAGGCACCAGGCACCAGGCAUGUGAGCCCACAGAGGAAAGGCUAUGAUGUGAAGACAGAGAGAAGGCCAUCACACACAAGCCAUGGAGAGAGGCCUCCCCAGAAACCAACCCCACCGACACCUUGAUCUCGGACUUCCAAGCUUCAGAACUGUGAGAAAAUAAAUUCCUAUUGUUUAAGCCACUCAGUCAGUGGAAUUCUGUUAUAGCAGCCCUAACAGACUAAUACGGAAGUCAAGUAGACAAGUCUGGUCUCUGUAUUUCUAUUGGAACUGGAUUUACUCUGCUCCUAUGAGUUAUCUCUAUGGGAGUUUGAUAUAAAUUGUUAAAAAAUUGAAGCAGAUAAACAUGAAAUUGUAGAGCAAUUUAA